UACAGAGGUCCCAAGCGUUGUUCGGAAUUACUGGGCGUAAAGGGCUCGUAGGCGGCCAACUAAGUCAGACGUGAAAUCCCUCAGCUUAACUGGGGAACUGCGUCUGAUACUGGAUGGCUUGGAUUUGGGAGAGGGAUGCGGAAUUCCAGGUGUAGCGGUGAAAUGCGUAGAUAUCUGGAGGAACACCGGUGGCGAAGGCGGCAUCCUGGACCAACAUUGACGCUGAGGAGCGAAAGCCAGGGGAGCAAACGAG
rnacentral:rRNA from 1 species